CCGAAUCUGAAGUCCGUUUCGCCAAAUUCGAACCCAGAAUUAUUGGAAGCUGAAUUGAGGAUCAAAGGAAUUCGAAUGAAAUUUUUAUGGUCGAUCAGUAUUGCAUGGAAAUCGAGGUUAAAAGAAUUGUACCAGUGCAUCUAUCGACUUCAG